CGCAACGGGCCUGUCCUCCAGCCUCGGCCCAGCUCCUCCUUCGCGAACACUCCUUUCCGCCGACUUCCUGGGGAAGAGCCUCAUUGUGCCAUAAAAUUCCUAAGCUCUAUUGAGUGAAAUUCCUAGCCCAUACUUCUUUGUUUCACGUCACACUGAGAAUUCUGAGGAUGCUGGAAGCAUAUGGAUGAGGAUGUAACAGCUAUAAAGACUCACAAAAUGUGUACUAGUACUUCCAGAAGAGUUCCAUCUAAACAGCCCCCUCCCCUACCCCACUUCCUCUGGGAGAAGCUGGCUGUAGCCCUGGGCUGUAGGAUGGCAUAAAAGAAAGAUCUGCCACCCAAGCACCUCUGCCUAUGACAUACUGAUAAAGCAGAGGCUGUGUCUCAUCUGAGCACCUGAUAUCUUAGACAGCCACCAUUCUUAGGCUUCAUCUAGUAUUUUCCUCCACCUACCCCACUCCCCAUUUUACAAUUAGUAUUACUAUGGAGAAACCUCUUGCUCUGCUGAUACGAAUGCCAGAACUGUUUCUAAGCCAAGGCAGAAGCAUCCAACGGGCUGGAGAAAGAGAGGGCAUGAGGGAAAAAAGGAACAUGAGGAGCCCUCUGGCAACUGAGUAGGGCCCUUGGCCUAUGGAGACAUCCCAACUGUUUAUGCUGGAGCAAUGUCAACUCUGAAAUGGAACAGCAAUAUCAGUUCCACAAGGGCAAGAGGCUGGCCUGAACAUGCCCAUGCAGAGAACCAGGCAGGGGCUGCCUCAGAGGAUCCUGAGCAAGUGAUUAGCCACAACAUCAAGACUGAUGUAAUGAUGGGGAAAACGCUGGCCAAGAAAGACGACGGAAUUUCCAAAAGGUAAAUUUCUGUGUAUUCACGCCUAAUCUUCAAAGUUGUGUAAACAGUUUUUUCUACCUUUCCCCAUCAUUUGCACAAUUUUUGUCAAGUCCAAACGUAAUUUAAAAUGAGGUAGGUAGUUUCUCUCUACUCGUGCCUUCAUCUCUGUGGUGACUGUCGAGGGCUAGGCCGUGAAAGCACUAGUGUCCACGCAGGGGGAGCGCCAAGGGCGGGCACCACUGCAGCUUCUCAAUUGGCUAUUUUCUCAAUCUCGUCCAAAUCAUCCGUAUCCAGUCUUUCUAUUUUCUUAUCUGGGGGAGAAAUGGAAUUCAAAGAGAGAUCAACAUGGGGUUACACAGAGACAAGCACCAGGGAAGGGGCCACACAGCAGGGAGAGAGGAAACUCAGGUCUCCGCCCCCUAGGAACUUCUGUGCCUCUGGCCACAGGGAUCCUUCACGGAACCCCAGAGGCUUCCAGUGACUGAGCGAGGGACACUGACAACAGUCAGAGCACUGGGCCCCUCAGCCUGGCCAAGGGGGACUGUCAUUCAAGUCCCUGAGCCCCAAACUCUCCAGGUGUGCUCUUUGUGAACUUCUGCGUUGUAGGGAAGGAGGAGAAUGGGACGGAAACAAAGGCCUCUCUCAGGGACACAGGAAAACCUCCCCUCCCCCCUGACUCGCCCCUGUAAGGCAAGGGCGGGGCAGGGACCCUCCAGGGGACUCACUGAAGUGCUCCUGGAUUCUGUUCAGGAUGUUCAUGCUGUGCUUGCUGUCCACCAUGUUCACUGCCAGGCCCCUCUUGCCAAAGCGGCCGGUGCGCCCGAUCCGGUGCAGGUAGGUCUCAUUGUCCGGGUUCCCAUCCUUGUCCACGGGGAGGUCAAAGUUGAUGACGACAGACACCUGUUCAACGUCGAUGCCUGCAGGGAGGAGAGGUGGAGAGGAGUAAGGCGGGACGUAACUCACUGUCACCCACACUCGGGCCUGCACACACCAACCUCAGGUGGAAGAAGAGUCUGGGACGGGCCAGCUCUGGGAUUUGGACAGAGGGGCAGGUGGCAGAACCCAGACGGGAAAAACAGAACUUUCACAGAUGCUGGCCAAAUUACAAGAUCAGUCAAAGCCUCUGCUGGGUACAAGUAUGUGGAGAAGCAGCUAAAGCCUCACUGGGGACCCCAAGAAGAGCAGGCACCGUUCUAAACCACCAAAUCAAGACUCCUGGUUUCUGUGAAAGUUCUCAUCUGCUGAGGGAAUCUAAACAGGCUCUCCUAGCAAACAGUGUCGCCACCAAGCGCACCUGCUCUACCCCACACCACCAGAGUGUCCCCCACACGAGGAUUUCUCUUGCUCCCCUGAGCCUAGCAUACUGAGGUACGUUCUGUGCUCACCGCGGGCACACACAUUGGUGGUGACCAGAACCUUCUCUUUGCCCUCUCGGAAGCGCUCAAUCACGGCAGCCCUCUGCUCCACCACCAUCUCACCGCUCAGCAGAGCCACCUGGUGGCCUUCUUUUGAGAGCUCUGCUGCCAGCCAGCUAGCUGUUUUACGGGUCUGGAGUGAAAAGAAUUGUUUUAAAUGAAGAUACCUGUAAAAAAAAAAAUGAAGACCCCUGCAGAAAAGUGGCUUAUUGCCAUUAACAUGCAUAAAGGCUCAGCUGAGUUCAGUCAGGAGAUCAGGCUUAAAUUUUCUCUAUUUUUUAGCCACGAUUUUUCUAGCAUGAAUAACUCAAUGAUCUUAGUGUUCAUCUAGGAAGACUGUGGUUUGAGCCAAAUGUUUUCUUUCCUAAAUACUCUAUAGUCUUAAUACUUUAAUUUGGGGGGUGGUGGUAAUUAGGUUUAUUUAUUUUUGGAGGAGGUACUGGGGAUUGAACUCAGGACCUAAUGCAUGCUAAGCAUGCGCUCUACCACUUGAGCUAUACCUUCCGCCCUAUAGUCUUAAUACUUUAAAAUUAUUUCCUUAGAUGUUACUUGGAGUUUUUUCCAAGUUAUCUCUAACAAGUGGGAUCAAAGAAGGUUUAGCUCUUGCAGUCUUCAUCUUACAACUCAUUACAAUCUGAGAGAAUCUGUCCUGGGCCAGAUGUAGGGGAUUCAUUUCCUUUCCAGCUGUGUGGAGGGAACCUGGCCCCAGCACUAAGGUGGAGCUGACUGAGAGGGAGGGGUGGGGCCACACCCUCCAGGGAGCUCCUCCCCCACAGGCCGCCUCCUCCUCCUCCCCCUGCUCCCCCUGCUCCUGCUGCUGCUGCUACUCACAUGACAGAAGAUCAUCGCUUGAGCGAUGGUGAUGGCCCCAUACAGGUUGCACAGGGCCUGGAACUUCUCGUCUCUGUUAUUGCACAGGACGUAAUACUGCUUGAUGGUGUCCAACGUCUCCUCCUCGCGCUUCAGUUUGAUGAUAUUUGGGUCUGGAACCACUUUCUGGGCAAA